GGCUUCGUUGCCAACGUCAACCACCAGUAAGAUCCGUCUGGGCUCCUAUGGGAGCCAGACUCCGCACCUGACUUUAAUUGCAGGAGUACUCUGUCCAGACUCCUACGGGAAUCGGGCUCCAACCGCAACACCAACCCUAGGAGGGCUCCGCCCGGACUCCUACGGGAGCCGGACUCCGUCGUCGGCUCCGACCGGUGCCGAACUUCGGCUGACGGAUCCGCAUUCACAAGCGCGACGCCGCAACCGC
rnacentral:lncRNA from 1 species